ACUAAGCUCCUCGUAAUUGGUGAGCAGGGAAAAGAAAAAAGAAAAUAUAAAUAAAUUUUGUUCGUCGUUAUUUCAAAUUUCUGCAGCUCGACUGUUAAUUUACAAAUUACAAAGGCCGCCUCGACUUUCAACCUAAAACCUAAUUUUCUGAUUCUCAAAUCUAUUCCGCUCUCUCUCUUUCCUACUUCUGGCAAUUUUUUCCCUUCAAAUGGGAUACGAGGGUCGAUUUAGUUUUUUGGUUCAAUCGAUUUGAUUGAGGAAGUUGAGUUCAAAUAGUUCUUGAUUUGGAAUAAUCUAACUCCAGUAAAUUCCCUAAUUUUCUUAAUUAUUUAGUUAAUUUCAAACCUUAUUUAUUGUAAAAUGAACUAAUAGUUUGAUUCUUGUGUUAUUGCUAUUGUGGCUUGAACUAAUAAUCUGAUUUCUUAUAGUUCUUUCUGCAAUUGGUCGGAUAUAUUUGUUGUCCUUCUAAUCGCAGGUCAAUCUCCAAAUUCAUGUCUAUCGCAGGUCAAUCUCCAAUUGGGCACUAAAACUGGCGUUAUUGCUAGACCCAAAUUCAAAACCCCAAAUUGAAAACGAAAAGGUCUGAUUUAGCCGCCAUUGCUUCCCUUAAACUCUCAAAGAGUCCACUUCCCCUGAACUUAAGGUUCUUUCUUUCUUUUCUAUUUUAAAAAAACUAAUUUCUAUAAAUUCAAAAGAAUCCACUUCCCUUGAAUGAUUAAUGUAUAUUUUUUUUCCUGUUGGUUUAUGUACUGUAGUUAGUGACCUAAUUAGUUUUUAUUACUUGUGAAUUGCAUCUUUAAUAAAUAUCUUUUAGAUUUUGUCGCUAAGGAAAUUUGUAACCUUGGGUUUCUACUACUUAAUGGCCUUAAUGCUAUAUGUUUGGGUGGACAUAUUUUUUGUCCUUCUAGUCGUAAUUUGAAGUAUAGAGUAGUUGUUGCAAUUCUUCAUCUUGACAAUACCGAUUUUUGCUUAAGGAGAUAGAUUCAUUUGUUACGGAGUAAAGAAUCCAUCUCAGUAUCGUUUCGGAACUAAUCAUGUAUUUUUUGUUUGCAUACCAACAAUUUGUGGCAAUAUUUUCAAAUAGAGAAUGUAUAUUUAUUUUAAUUUAUGUAAGGUGUAGUGCUUACGCCUUUGAAGACGUGUUAAUGACAUGUUUUUUUAUUACUCCUGAAGAAGUCAUACAAUGAAGUUUUUAUCCCCUUAAUGCCAGAUUUAUCAUGGAUGUCUUGGCUUAGACGAUAAACCAACGACUCCUUGACUGGUACAUGAAUUUCAUUGUAUGACUCCGCUUAAGGUUGAUGCUUCGAGGAUCUGAGUUUUCUGUCUUAAGGUUAUUGCUACAUUCUCGUUCUUGGUUGGCAGCAAAUGUGUUGUGUCAGACUACUUUGUAGUUGUUUACUUUCUGGUACAUUACAAAGAAGUCCACUAUCUCCAUGAUUGAUCUACAUCUUACCGGGUAAACAAUUGCUUAGUUUGGAACACUAGCAUACUAAGGUAUUGCAAUAAGGUGAUUGAACAAGCCAUCGUCAGAGGCUCAAAGCCUUCAAUGCAUUAUGCUCCUGUCCUAGACCUUCUGAAGGUAUUCGUUCUUACUUUUGUAUUACUGAACCAUUAGUAGAGGAGAAGCUAUGCAUAACAAUGCUAUCCUUCUCUCUCUCUAUACUUGGUGCCUUUUUGUCUUGCACCUGGUAAUGCUAGAACAUUGGAGAUGAGUUCAGUACCAGCUGGAGGCGUUGAAUUGGUUUAAAAGUUUGAAACUUUCAUCGCCUGGCAGUGUAUAUGAUUGGAACAAGUAAACUAGGUAUUUAGAAUGCUUGGCUGACUCUUUUUGAACAUGAGGUGCUUUCUUAUUUUGAUAUCAUACGAUUCAUACAUGUACAUGAUACGCCAUCUAGGUCUUGGAGUGUUCAUUAGCUUGACCUGUGUGAUCUGUUUCAGAUUAGUUUGCAGGCUUUUGUAGGUUGACGAAGACGUGAAGUAGCAUCAGCCAGGCUUUAAUGAUUUGUUACUAUUUUGUGCUCAGUAAAGUAGUAACAUCACACCCUAAGAAGCAUCAGACUAGAAUUGACACUAAAUUUAUGAAAGUGCUGACAUUCAGAGAACACCACAUGACAUUUUUUCAGAAUUCGGAUCUGUUUUUCGUCUGUCUUCUACAACCUCUGUCCUUUAACAUCCAAGUUCAAGAAACAGAACUGGAAGCAGCUUAGUGGAUGCCCUUCCAAGAAUAUGCAGUGCAGUGCGGUCUUUUGUUCAGAGAUAUGAGCUCCUGAGGUACAUGGUUAAAAUUUGUAACGCAAGAAUGGAUGGUUAGUAUUCAGGAUUUCCAGCAGUGGCUAUCAAACCAAGCUUUAGAGAUGGUGAAUUCAUCUACUCCAAUAACCAGGCCUUCAAAUGAGAUACAUAACCAUGUACGGCAUAUAUAAAAUAUUGUACAGUGGAUAUGCACAUCAUUACACUAGAAUUUGAGGGUGUCAUUACUGAAUGACAAUCCAAGAGAGGAUACUUCAACUAUUUAAUUAUAUUUUAUUUUGUUCCUUAGAUUGAACAAGAGUUACUUAUCUAUUAGUGUUUUAGAACUUAAAGACAAAGGGACAUGAUUGUUAGGUUAACAUAAUUUGAAAUUAUGUUGUCAAAAUUCUUUGAGUAAUGAAAUUUUCAUUUGUUUUAA